CUAAGCGGGACAAAGGAAGGCGAGCGCUGAGGCGAGAGCGCGGUUCGGGGGGCGCGGGGUGACCCGGCCCCGCAUCCCGGCCGGGCAGCUGCCCGACACCGCCGGCCCCCGCGCUGGCCCUGGGGAAACUCCUCCUGCCCACACCGCCGGUGGAGCUGCCCCCGCCCCGAGCCGGUGCGCCGCAGCGCCGGGGCUACCUGCCACCCUCCAGCCCGGGCCGGCCGCCGUGUGGGGAUGAGGCUUGUGGGAGACCCGGGCACAGGGGACCCUGUGCAGGGCCCUGGCAGCUGCCUGCUGUGUGAGCCGCGUAAUCUACGUAAUAACCUGCCCAUCUCAGAGGGCACCGUAACCAGCGAGUGUGACCCGCGAGAAAAACGCGCUUUCUAGCGACAUAACCAGCGGCAGG